ACGAACGCUGGCGGCGUGCUUAACACAUGCAAGUCGAACGGAAAGGCCCUGCUUUUGUGGGGUGCUCGAGUGGCGAACGGGUGAGUAACACGUGAGUAACCUGCCCUUGACUUUGGGAUAACUUCAGGAAACUGGGGCUAAUACCGGAUAGGAGCUCCUGCCGCAUGGUGGGGGUUGGAAAGUUUCGGCGGUUGGGGAUGGACUCGCGGCUUAUCCGCUUGUUGGUGGGGUAGUGGCUUACCAAGGCUUUGACGGGUAGCCGGCCUGAGAGGGUGACCGGCCACAUUGGGACUGAGAUACGGCCCAGACUCCUACGGGAGGCAGGAGUGGGAAAUAUUGCACAAGGGGCGGAGGCCUGAUGCAGCAACGCCGCGUGCGGGAUGACGGCCUUCGGGUUGUAAACCGCUUUCGCCUGUGACGAAGCGUGAGUGACGGAAAUGGGUAAGGAAGCACCGGCUAACUACGUG
rnacentral:rRNA from 1 species